GUGAGGAAUUUUGCGCAAUGGGGGCAACCCUGACGCAGCGACGCCGCGUGGAGGACGAAGUCUUUCGGGAUGUAAACUCCUGUCAGUGGGGACGAUAAUGACGGUACCCACAGAGGAAGCACCGGCUAACUCCGUGCCAGCAGCCGCGGUAAGACGGAGGGUGCAAGCGUUGUUCGGAAUUACUGGGCGUAAAGCGUAUGUAGGCGGCAAGUUAAGUUCAAUGUUAAAGCCCACGGCUCAACCGAGGAGAUGCAUUGAAUACUGGCUAGCUAGAGGGUGUUAGAGGAAGACGGAAUUCCCAGUGUAGCGGUGAAAUGCGUAGAUAUUGGGAGGAACAUCGGUAGCGAAAGCGGUCUUCUGGGACAUACCUGACGCUGAGGUACGAAAGCGUGGGGAGCAAACGGGAUUAGAAACCCGAGUAGUCC
rnacentral:rRNA from 1 species